UCCAGCAGAUGGCGAUUUUCACACAUCAUUUCGGUGAAAAGUGGGGGGAGGAGGCGAAUUUACGUUUCCUACGGUGGCGAAGGCAUGUCUCUCCCUCCCUACUCUGCCUUACACUGCCUCUAAUUGCCUACGAAGGCAACGUACUAGCCAAUCAGAAGCAGAUUAGGGCGGGUCAUGCCUUCUCUAUCCUAGGGAAAGCUAAUUUGCGUGGAGGAUACCUGAGUUCCCCGGAAGUUACCUUCAAAUUAAUGAAGUAGUAAAAGAAUAAACAACUUUGUACAAAUCUUCACUAUCUGUGUCUCUCCUGAAGAUUCACGUCCUGUCCUGCCAUGCGACACUUAAUGUAUUCACUCUCCGCACAAAAAAUGUACUUGUAUAUCCUUGGACUAGUGGCUCCCUGGUUCGCCUAUCGCUGGUAUAAGGGCAGCAGAAGAGUGUCCAACAAGGAAGAUAAAUAUGUGUACAUUACUGGCUGUGACAGUGGGUUUGGCAAUCUCCUCGCGAGACACCUAGACAAGCUGGGCUUCAAUGUAAUUGCAUGCUGUUACACUGAGAAGGGUGAGGAUGAGCUGAAGGAGAACGCCUCCGACAGACUGAGAACCUUUCACCUGGAUGUCACCGACUCCAAGAGUGUCAGCGAAACGGCAGCUCUCAUCAAGACUCUGGUUGGACAGAAGGGCCUGUGGGCCGUGGUGAACAAUGCUGGAGUCGCUCUGCCGUCUGGUCCCACUGACUGGCUCAAUAUAGACGACUACAAGGACAUGAUAGCUGUCAAUCUGUGCGGUGUAAUCGACGUAACACUGAGCGUCCUCCCUCUCAUCAAGAAGGCCAGAGGCAGAGUGGUGAACGUUGCCAGUGUGUUUGGGCGAGUCACCCCGUUCGGCGGACCGUACUGCGUGUCCAAGUACGGAGUGGAGUCCUUCAACGACAGUCUGCGUUUAAACAUGGCACCAUUUGGUAUCAAGGUUGCAUGCAUUGAGCCGGGCUUCUUCAAAACAAAUGUGACUGACGUAGUGGGGAUGCAAAAUAACCUGAGGAAGCUCUGGGACAGAUUGCCUCAGGAUGUGAAGGACGACUAUGGACCUACUUUCUUAAAUGACUCUCUUGAAAUGUUGACUCAACGGUUCAAGAUGUUGACGGACAGCAACCUGAUGAAGGUGGUCAGCUGCAUGGAGCACGCCAUCUCUGCCGUUCAUCCUCGUACACGCUACUCUGCUGGAUGGGACGCUAAGUUCUACUGGUUGCCUGUGUCGUACAUGCCAACCUGCAUCUCCGAUAGGCUUUUCCGUACACAUAGCCCUACUGUAAAACCAAAAGUCUCUGCACGGUAGUUUCUGUCAAAUCAGCUGUUUGAGAGAAAGAAAUAGUGCUAAUUUGAAGUUCAUGUAUGUCUUUUUUUUUACUGCAAUAACUGUUUGUACAUGAAGGAUUAUACUAUUGACGACAACCUUUUCUGUAUUAUAAAACGUGUUUGGCUCUUUAUUAUGUCUUU